GGUGGCUCAGUGGUAGAGCACUUGCCUUGCAAGGCAGAGGCCCUGGGUUCGAUUCCUCAGCACCA
rnacentral:tRNA from 1 species